GCCGGGAGGGGGCUCCGCCAGCCGGGGGUGCUGAUCCGGCCGCCGCGUCCCUUACCCAUCCCUCCCCGCCCAUGGGCGAGACAUGGACUACGAGUUCAAGUCGAAGCUGGCGGCCGAGCGCGAGCGGGUGGAGGACCUGUUCGAGUACGAGGGCUGCAAAGUGGGCAGAGGCACCUACGGGCACGUCUACAAGGCCCGCCGCAAGGACGGAAAAGAUGAAAAGGAGUAUGCACUGAAGCAAAUUGAAGGUACAGGGAUAUCCAUGUCGGCCUGUAGAGAGAUUGCACUUUUACGAGAGUUGAAGCACCCUAAUGUGAUUGCAUUGCAGAAGGUUUUCCUUUCUCACAGUGACAGAAAGGUUUGGCUGCUGUUUGAUUAUGCUGAACAUGAUUUGUGGCAUAUUAUCAAGUUUCACCGUGCCUCAAAAGCAAAUAAAAAGCCCAUGCAGUUGCCAAGAUCUAUGGUUAAAUCCCUACUCUACCAGAUCCUCGAUGGAAUCCAUUACCUCCAUGCAAACUGGGUGCUUCACAGAGAUCUUAAACCAGCAAACAUUCUGGUAAUGGGUGAAGGUCCCGAAAGAGGAAGAGUCAAAAUAGCUGAUAUGGGUUUUGCAAGAUUGUUCAACUCACCUUUGAAGCCAUUGGCAGACUUGGAUCCAGUUGUGGUGACAUUCUGGUACAGAGCUCCGGAGCUGUUACUUGGAGCCAGACAUUACACAAAGGCCAUUGAUAUUUGGGCAAUUGGUUGCAUAUUUGCUGAACUAUUGACUUCGGAACCUAUAUUUCACUGUCGCCAGGAGGACAUCAAAACAAGUAACCCUUUUCAUCAUGAUCAGCUAGAUCGCAUUUUCAGUGUAAUGGGAUUCCCUGCAGAUAAAGAUUGGGAAGACAUAAGGAAGAUGCCAGAAUAUCCAACUCUUCAGAAAGAUUUUAGGAGAACAACAUAUGCCAAUAGUAGCCUCAUAAAAUACAUGGAGAAACACAAAGUCAAGCCUGACAGCAAAGUUUUUCUUUUGCUUCAGAAGCUUCUUACUAUGGACCCUACAAAGAGAAUUACCUCAGAGCAGGCUUUGCAGGACCCCUACUUUCAAGAGGAUCCUCUGCCUACAUCAGAUGUUUACUGUGUUUCAGUGUAUUUGCUGGCUGUCAGAUUCCAUAUCCUAAAAGAGAAUUCCUCAAUGAAGAUGAACCUGAAGAGAAAGGGGAUAAGAAUCAACAGCAGCAGAAUCAACAUCAGCAGCAAACAGCACCUCAGCAGCAGCCGCAGGCAGCGCCGCAGCAGCCGCAGCCGCAGCAGCAGAACAGCACCCAGACCAACGGGACGGCCGGGGGUGCUGGCGCGGGAGGAGGGGGCACGGGCGCAGGGCUCCAGCACAGCCAGGACUCCAGCCUCAACCAGGUGCCUCCGAACAAGAAACCACGCAUAGGGCCUUCAGGCGCUAACUCAGGCGGGCCUGUCAUGCCUUCAGAUUAUCAGCACUCCAGCUCACGCCUGAGUUACCAAAGCAACAUUCAGGGAUCUUCUCAGUCCCAGAGUACAAUGGGCUAUUCCACGUCGUCUCAGCAGAGCUCCCAGUAUCACCAAUCUCACCAGUCUCACAGGUACUGAGAGGGCUAACAGGCUGUACUCAGAAAGGAACGGACUAAAAGCCAGAAGACUCCAGCAAUAUGAAGUUCAUAACGAUGAGAAGAACCAAAAAUACAAACUAUGAUGCAGAAUUAAAAUUCACAAUGACAAAAGGAAAACUUCACUCACUGAAGACUUCCCGCCCCCCGUCCCUUUAUUGCCAUAAAGGAGAUUCUCGUGAAGUUUUCCUUCCUCUCUCCCCUUGCAUGUGCUCCAUUGUGGUUACUCUAAUGAACCCUUCUGAUCUGAACCCAGCACUUAACUUCUUUAACCUUUGGAAUUUUGAAGGAUUCCUGGUGCACCUUCCUUAUGCUGUAGUGAUUGCCAUAAAUCUGUCUUUUCAAUCUCUUUGAUGGGAUUUUAAAGUUUUAAAAUCUUGAACUCCCAGGCUUUCAAGCUUGUAUAUAGUUAGUUUUAUACUAGGCAAGCCAGUUUAGCUAUACAGGUAUAUUGCACCUUUUUAAAGCACUAUGUUAUUUUCACAGGAUAUUACUGUUUUGCUCAUGGAUGUCAAGAACAGCAAAAUUUUACUGUUCCAGAGUAUUUUACUAUUCUGUUUUUAUUAGUCUAGUUUUCAGGCGAGGUCUUAAAAAUAAAAAAUUUAAAAAAGAAAUAAAAUUUAAAAAAGGAAAAAGGAAAAAAGAAAAAAAAACCACCCAAGUCUCUGCAGCGACAAAUAUGCUUCAUGCUACUGGACUGAACGCCAAACAGAAGAUUGCUGAUAUUUCUUAACUCAUUCACAUUGAAUUCUUGAAAUCACAGUGAUCAUGCUCUGACUAGUUUUAAAUUAAGCGUUAUUUUAAAUGAAACCAGGACAGUCACAUAAAAAGGAGAUGCUUCAGGAUCUGUUGGAACAGAAGAAUGGAAUGUCUUCCCAGGCUGGACACCAAAAUAGUCAGGAAAAUGUACUUACUGCCCUCAAGUCUCAGUAGGAAUGUGGAUGGCGGGCUUGUUUUUCUGUUAAGCAGCUGAUUAAUGUAUGUGAGAGUUCUAUAAAUUUAGCUUUCUUUCACAUUCCUGAGUCAGUUUUCUGAAUAUAAAGGUGACAGAAAUACUAAGACUUGCAAAAACGAAUGCAUUUAAUCAUUUUGUGUUAGAAUUAAUACUUAAGAGAAAUUAUUGUGCAGUUUGAAAAGCAUGUUGAAAAUUGUUCGUUUUUCAUGUUUAUAAUGCAUAUUCUGUGUCCCUCACAUUGCUGUGAUUAACCCAGAUUAGUUACACCAGAUGCGCUUGAUUGCACUGAAAUGUUUCUUUUUCCCUAGAGCAAACAUGUUUUGAUUGUGCCUAAGGACUGUAAGUGGAUGGGUAGCUGGCAGAAAAUCCCCAGUAAAUAAGCAAGAGUUCAGAAGCAUAAUCAGAGGAUUAUUGUCCAACUUCUGCAACCACAGUUAUUUGGAGAGACACAACAUAUAAUUUGGGACAGCUUCAUUUUUCCUUCAGCCUUCAGAAAUAAGGCUGGCUCUUGUUGCAGAAAACCUUGAGAAAUGCAUUUAGAAAGCUACUAGCAAUGUAACAUCAGCAAGCUUCUACAACUGGUGUCCAGAGGAGAGGUGAAGUGAGAAGAGUUUAUAUGUAAACGCUUAAUGUUACAGGCUUUUUUUACUGCAGUGUGUUCUCUUCUGUCCUGCAUCCGUACAAAAAAAAUUGUAUAUACCCGUACACAUUCACACUGAAGUUGUGAUCAGACCUAGCAAGAUGAGUAAUCUGUUUGCUCUGAGGAGAAUGCUUUUCAUCACAGCUAGACACAUACAUGUUCCUACUGGAUUUGAUCUCCCAAUCACCUUUAGUGCCCUCUUCCUCCUCAAACCUGUGUUGUUUUCAUACCUUUUGUAAGCAGUUGGCUUGCUUUGGCUGUACCUACCAUCAUGUGGUUUUUGACAACACCCAGCUUCUCUGAAAAAGCAACUAAAACCUGCUUUUGUCAUCAAAUGGGUAAGAAGGUGGUGAAAAUUAAAUGAAGCAAUUUGAAGGAAGAAAUUAUUUCUGAAGAAAAAUAAUCUCCCAAAGGUUACUUUCAAUGUGUAACCCUUGAAAUGCUACAUAUUACACAUACCCUGGUAGCCUGUUUGAAAGAACAGAUUUUAAUUGUUCCUUUAUUUUAUUUCAAUGAGUCUGGGGUUACAUUCUUUCCAUAAGUGGAACGUCUCACCUCUUACUGAUGUUAGGAUGAGGUACCUUUGAGCUAACGGAUAUUUGGCCAAUGCCGUAAAGUAACAUUUAUUUUACAUUUUUGUGACUUCAAUGUCACGUUUCUGGAAAUUAACCUUUGGCAGAGUAAUUUUUGUCCCCUCCUGUUCUUUUCACCCUUCUGUUCUCUCAAAAUCCUUUUGUCUUUUCCAUUAUAGUUAUCUGACAUUUCUUCUCCCUACUAUGACCUGCAAGCUGAUCAUCGAAAUUCAUAUAAUGUCAGGAGGUGGCAGGGAGAUGUAUUGCCAUACGGUUAAUUAAGGUGGGCUCUUGUGCCAAUAAGGCAAAAUCAUGGUGUAGAUUAAUCUGUAUGUAGAGUGUGAAACUUCACAGCAACGUGAGGUGCUUUAAUUGAGUGAGCUUACAGCUUCUAGGGCGACUACCACGACCUCUUUCUAAGCUGAACUGGCAUUUCUGCCUUGGUUAGGUCUGAUAGAUGACGGCACGCCGCUCGUAUCUAGCGUUUGUGCGCACACGCGAAGCCGAGCUGACUUCCUCCAUUGCCUUCAAACGUACAACUGGGAGGAGAGCAAAUAAAAGCAGAAGCCUUUGCUGUGAAACGUAGGCUGUGCGCACUCUUCUAGUUCCUUCCUGGUGGUGAAAUAAUUUGCCUUUUCUUGGGAGCUUGACGCGCGUUGCGCGGGUUGGGCGGCAGUCAUGGUGGAAGAUGCCUUGCUUUCCAGGGGUCAUCCCGUGAGGGAAAAACGCUCCGCUUUCGGAAGUGAAUCGUGCAGUGUGUCCUGGGAAGCCAGGACCAUGUCAUUUUUAUGUUAUUUUUUUUACCCGUGCAGUUUCGUUAGUACUCAUAGCUCUGUCUCUGCCCGUAACCUUUACGCCCUCACCAAAGUGUUUCACGCCGGCAGAGCCGUCUUCUCCAUCCUGGUCGCCCGGUGGGAGAGCGGGCCGCUAAGUACAGCUUUUCCCACCGUAGCGCAGAGGAAACAAACGCGUGGGGAACGAAUGGGAUGAGCAGCCUGGUCCGCAUUGGUGAAGUUUAUGUAGCACAAACUGCACAAUGAAGGAAAAAAUAUAGGGAAAGCUGCGAGUCCUGCACUGUAUCUGUGACACUGUAUCUGGGGAGGGGGAGGGAAGAGCAUUUGUAGCGGGAGGGGUGGCGGGAAGCUAGAAGUGUUCAAAUGUGUAUAAUAUUUUAUAUAAACAUAAUAAGCUUAGUUCCCCUUCAUAAUCUUCAGGAAUGGUACUUUAACACCAUUAAGCAAAGAAUUGUUUUAGGAUUAAAUAAAUGUAUUGUACAUAAGGCCAUACGUAAUCUUCUAAAAAUGUCGCCAGACAGGAGCGAUGUGUAUUACUAUAUGAAAAAAAAAAGUCCUUAAUGCACUGUUAUCUCCUAAAUAUUUAGUAGUAAAUUAAUACUAUUUAAUUUUUUUAAAAAUUUGUCUUGUGUAGACACUAAAAAGUAUUACACAAAAUCUGGACAGAACAUGUCCUUUUUAACAGCAAUUUAAAGAACUUUUUAUAUAUGUAAGGUAGUAACUUUUCAAAUUGUUCUAGUUGUAUUUUCCCAUGUUUACUAUUUGUGGAAGUGUGCCUGUCUCUAUUCAGUUAUUUUUUUCUAAUAAUUUCGUGCACGCAUCUUUCAUUUUUGUAGUUUUCAUUAGAAAUUAUUGUGUAUGCGCCUCAUGCUGCCACAAAACUUUGCCGCUCUAGAUCUGUGGUGGCCACAUUCGGCAGUGCCCAUGCCAGUGGGCUAGCAAAACCACAAAGCAAAAUACUUGUUUCUCAUUCUAGAGCUGAGAGUUUACUGCUUUUAAGUUGUCCUGAUGUCACUCUUGAAAUGACUGUUAAAACUAAACUAUGAGUUCAUUGCAUUUAUUUUAUAUUCUUGGUUGUAAUGAAAUGGAAUUGACUUUGCUUCAGUGUGAAUUUUUUUAAUAAAAUAAUAUACAUUUGUAAUAAUAAUAAAAAGUUCAAAUCAAA